GAUGAACGCUAGCUACAGGCUUAACACAUGCAAGUCGAGGGGAAACGCCAUCGAAAGCUUGCUUUUGAUGGGCGUCGACCGGCGCACGGGUGAGUAACGCGUAUCCAACCUGCCCAUCACUUGGGAAUAACCUUGCGAAAGUAAGACUAAUACCCAAUGACAUCCCACGAAGACAUCUGAAUGGGAUUAAAGAUUUAUCGGUGAUGGAUGGGGAUGCGUCUGAUUAGCUUGUUGGCGGGGUAACGGCCCACCAAGGCAACGAUCAGUAGGGGUUCUGAGAGGAAGGUCCCCCACAUUGGAACUGAGACACGGUCCAAACUCCUACGGGAGGCAGCAGUGAGGAAUAUUGGUCAAUGGGCGAGAGCCUGAACCAGCCAAGUAGCGUGCAGGAUGACGGCCCUAUGGGUUGUAAACUGCUUUUAUAAGGGAAUAAAGUGGGUCUCGUGAGACUUUUUGCAUGUACCUUAUGAAUAAGGACCGGCUAAGUCCGUG
rnacentral:rRNA from 1 species